rnacentral:rRNA from 1 species
UACGUAGGGGGCAAGCGUUGUCCGGAAUUAUUGGGCGUAAAGGGUGCGUAGGCGGCGCGGUAAGUCGGGUGUGAAAUCUUGGAGCUUAACUCCGAAACUGCAUUCGAUACUGCCGUGCUUGAGGACUGGAGAGGAGACUGGAAUUUACGGUGUAGCGGUGAAAUGCGUAGAUAUCAAGCGGAACACCAGUGGCGAAGGCGAGUCCCUGGACAACUCCUGACACUGAGGCACGAAAGCUAGGGGAGCAAACAGG